CAGAAACAGAGACAGCUGAAGUAACUGAUUCAAGAUCACCUAACAGUUACCACACUCUGGCUGCAAAAAAUAAUGCUCGGAACUUUGGGAAAGGCAAAGGCUUAAAAAACACAUCAAUGCCCUUGAAGAGAAGACACGUGGGAAAGGGGAAAUGGUCCAAGGUAAGGUGCUUUAUGAAGUGACACUAAGAGAUGAAAAGUCCCCCUGGAACCAAGUGGUUGUAGACAUUAUGCUGAACGAUGACCUGCCCCACAGAAUACAUGGACAUUAUGUAUAUAAUUUGAGCCUACUCCCUUAAAGGUAACUGGUUCAGACAAUGGCAAAAAUGGCCUAAGACAGCAAUGGGCGCCUCUGAGCUUGGGCAGUGAACAGCACGGGUCAUAGGGAGCCAGUCUGAUGUCAAUAGCAGCUUUGUGUAAGGAGAGCAGAGAAAAUGCAGCCUCUGACCAUAUGGGAGCCUUUUCAUUUCUUAGGCUGCAUUCUGCCAUUGUCUCCCGUGUGCAAAUCCCACUGACCAUGGCCGCAGCAUGGGGCUUAGAUUGAUGGCCGCAGAUGGCCUCUGGCCCUCAGCAUCAGUUGGGAAAGAAAGGAAGGUUACUCUCAGGCCCAUGUCUGGUUUUGCUUUUUAUCUCUUUUUUCCUUAUCUUUCCUUCUGGGUCCUUUCAAAUCCCAGGUCCCAUCCCUUCCCUUCCCUUCCCUU